rnacentral:rRNA from 1 species
UACGAAGGGUGCAAGCGUUAAUCGGAAUUACUGGGCGUAAAGGGUGCGUAGGCGGUUAGUUAAGUCUGUCGUGAAAUCCCCGGGCUCAACCUGGGAAUGGCGAUGGAUACUGGCUAGCUAGAGUGUGUCAGAGGAUGGUGGAAUUCCCGGUGUAGCGGUGAAAUGCGUAGAGAUCGGGAGGAACAUCAGUGGCGAAGGCGGCGAUCUGGGUCGAUACUGACGCUGAGGUGCGAAAGCGUGGGGAGCAAACAGG